rnacentral:lncRNA from 1 species
GUUUAUUCUCAAGUUAGUUCUGCUUAGGAUGAUCUCCUUUGUAACUGUGAAAGAAAAUUGCCAAGUGCCUGAAUAAUUCACAAAUACAGUGUAGGUCUUGCAUAAGCUGCAGAACAAUGGCCAGCAUGUUGCACUGUGAGGGCUCCAGAUCUGUGAAACAACUGUGAAUAAACAGGCUCUACCAGGGCUGCCUAGAUUAGAUGCCCACCAGAAUCCCUUCAGGUUACUUAUUACAUUUACCGAAGCCAGGUCUCCGACCUCCCAGACCUUCUGAGUCAGCAUCUUAGCGGGGCGGGGGGUGGUUCUGAGAGUCUAUGUUUUAUCAUCUGUCCCUACCAACCCCCACGUGGUGGUUCCGGUGCACAUUCAAGCAGGACAAGGUUUGCUUGAUCCCUGAAAGGUCUAGAAGCUCCCCAAGGACUUGUGAGCUUGCCAUGGGCGUGAGCCAUCAACAACCCUAAGUUUGUAAAUAAUAUUUGUAAAUAUUUAGUUUUAUGUUUUAAUUUUUUAUGACUUGUAGACUUUCCCAUGGGGAAAUGUUUAAUUUCUUUUUCUGCUUUGUAUUGCAGGGUCUUAUUCACUUCAUUAAUAUUUAAUCGAAGAAUCAUACUGAGCUAUUUCCAGACUCUGAGUGGAGGGAACAUGGUACUGCCUUCCCAGUGGAGUUCUGAUUAAUGCACCAUCUCUGUGGUCCCUGGGGAUCACCAACUUCCUCAUCCCCCAACUAUACAUAUUUAUUCUGUGGAGAGGGAGGCAGAAAGUUGGAGAAAGCCCUUUUUAGCUCAACACAUGAUCUUCAGAAAAGUCAACAGACCUUUCCUGAUGGUCACCUAGUGGCCUUGCUGUUUCUCCACGUGAAUGUGAUAUUGAAUAUUGUACAAAGCCACUUGAAAAAGAUAUAA